rnacentral:rRNA from 1 species
UGGGGAAUAUUGGACAAUGGGCGGAAGCCUGAUCCGGCAAUGCCGCGUGAGUGAUGAAGGCCUUAGGGUUGUAAAGCUCUUUUUACCCGGGAUGAUAAUGACAGUACCGGGAGAAUAAGCUCCGGCUAACUCCGUGCCAGCAGCCGCGGUAAUACGGAGGGAGCUAGCGUUAUUCGGAAUUACUGGGCGUAAAGCGCACGUAGGCGGCUUUGUAAGUUAGAGGUGAAAGCCUGGAGCUCAACUCCAGAAUUGCCUUUAAGACUGCAUCGCUUGAAUCCAGGAGAGGUGAGUGGAAUUCCGAGUGUAGAGGUGAAAUUCGUAGAUAUUCGGAAGAACACCAGUGGCGAAGGCGGCUCACUGGACUGGUAUUGACGCUGAGGUGCGAAAGCGUGGGAGCAAACAGGAUUAGAUACCCUGGUAGUCCACGCCGUAAACGAUGAUAACUAGCUGUCGGGGCUCUUAGAGCUUCGGUGGCGCAGGCUAACGCUAA